rnacentral:rRNA from 1 species
GACGAACGCUGGCGGCGUGCUUAACACAUGCAAGUCGUACGGUAAGGCCCUUUCGGGGGUACACGAGUGGCGAACGGGAGAGUAACACGUGAGUAACCUGCCUACAACUUUGGGAUAACGCUAGGAAACUGGUGCUAAUACUGGAUAUGUGCUCCUGCUGCAUGGUGGGGGUUGGAAAGCUCCGGCGGUUGUGGAUGGACUCGCGGCCUAUCAGCUUGUUGGUGGGGUAGUGGCCUACCAAGGCGGCGACGGGUAGCCGGCCUGAGAGGGUGACCGGCCACAUUGGGACUGAGAUACGGCCCAGACUCCUACGGGAGGCAGCAGUGGGGAAUAUUGCACAAUGGGCGCGAGCCUGAUGCAGCAACGCCGCGUGCGGGAUGACGGCCUUCGGGUUGGAAACCGCUUUCAGCAGGGACGAAGCUUUUUGUGACGGUACCUGCAGAAGAAGCACCGGCUAACUACGUG